GUCAGGUCCAGAUUUAAAACAUGAUGCCUUGACCUUUACAGAAAAGUUUCAAGCCUCCUGCCAUCACCAGAAUUCCCAGAAUCCACUCUCCUUACCUAAAUGUACUUUGUUCUCUCACUUUGCUUCUGAUAGUGGGGGCCGUGAGCCUGUUUACUGUCAGAUUACUGCCUAGUGAGUACGUAGGUCCCUCCCAUGGCCACCUGAACCAAGUGAAGCGAGAUUCUGGCAACACUCAACAGCCACCAAUUACGUGGACCAGCAUCUUGAACCAAAUUUUGAUGUGCUUCAAACCCCAGGCCCACUAAAUUCCUCAAUUUUUCUCUCUUGUCCAGCUUCCUCUCAUCAGUCAGUCUUUACAACUUAGUCUACAGUCAACAAAUGUUUGGUUUCUUCUGCCUCUCCCCUCAUUAGGACUUCAGAUAAACAGCCCUCCUUGUCAGCCUGGACAGGGCACCUUUGUUGGAAAUUUCAGAGCUGACUGCCCAGAGCCCUCACGAAGAAGAUGGAAAACACAGGAGUCAGGACCAGAUUGCCUGAGCCAGGCCAAGCCUAGGUUGAUGGGAAAUGUUACAGUGGAAGAAUGUCGUCACCAUCUGAACCCACUGAUGAAUCUCAGAAUGAACAAAAGUGAAACCACCAGAAAUAAUGCACUGAAAUAUGGAGAGGUGAAAAUAAAUUGGGCCUGGAAUUUGCUUUACAAUACUUAACAAAAACAUGGGAAUUCCCUGGUGGCCAGAGGUUAGGACUUUGAGCUUUCACUGCUGAGGGUGAGGGAUCAAGCCCCGUCAGGGAACUAAGAUCCUAUAAGCUGCAUGCCACAGCGAAAAAAAGAAACUUUAGCAAAAAUAGUAACAACUGAAAAUUUAAAAAAUGAUAAAUGAAGUAUGGCAAAAUGUUGAUGACUGCUGAAAAUUUGUGCUGGGGUUUAAUAUGCCGUUAUCUCUACUUUGUAUAUAUUUGAAAAUUUUACAUAAUAAAAAAUAAGACAUACAUACCAA